CUGCCUCCCACAGUGCUGGGAUUACAGGCAUGAGCCACUGCACCUGGCCAAAAACUGCAAUUACUUUUGCACCAACCUAAUAGUUUUAUAUCCACCUGCUCUUAUUUUAACAGCCCUAAUUUAAAUGCAUGAAAAUACAAAUGUAAAGUGUUUAUUUGGAGUUCUACAGAGCACCUCUAAUUCAACCUCUUUUCUCGUUGUUGAUGUUCUGUGAUUCCUGAUUUUUAAAUUUUAGCUUAGUAAAAAAAAAGGGGGGCCUGUGACCUAUCUAAAUAGGCAUUUUCAGAUUUUCCAUGCAUUUUAAGGUUUGUUCAGCAUGACUGAAACCUGCAUCAAUAAUAUAUCAACAAUAUUUAAAAUACAGAGAAGAAUUCGGAACUCUGUCAGAGAUAUUUCCAAGGCCAGAGAGGAUGGUAUAGGUUUUCCCUUAACAGAUAAAAUUAAUCAAGGACAUUUUUACAGGUGAACUUUAAGUUUUUCACAUUUAAUCAAAUUUAGCAAUGUCUAGAGACUAUAAAUCUAAACUAAUUCAAGUGCUUAAAAAUUAGAAAGGUAAAUGAUUUUCUUAAGUAGGUCAUCAUUAGCUUAAAGUGUUUAAUUUUAUUAAAGCUUUCAUUUCUUGUUUUGAAAAUUCCAGGACUAUGUCUACCAUCUAUAUUUUUCAACUUGAUUUCCACAACCUGGGAGAUCACAAUUGCUGAUGCACUAUAUGAAUUUGAUUGAUCAUUCCUUACAUUUCAAGGUGUCCUCUAAUCCUAUUAAAAUUAUACAUGGAGACUGUUACCCUAUGACAGUAAAAAAUAAAGAGAUUAAAAAAAAGAAUGAUUACUUCCACCUGAAACUCUAGGUUAGUCUGACAUUAGAUUUCAUCAAAAUGAAGUGUGGGUGCUCAAGAAUAUUAGCAACCUUUUGGUUUUUUUCUAUUCUGUGAAUUGUUAUUUCCAGGUGAGUUGGAAUUAAUGUUUCUGAGAAUUUCCUACUCUUAGUUGUGCAUCCAAAGCAUUUUUUCUCUAAUUAUUGUCAGAUUAUGAUACUGUCAUCACUGUUUCUCAAGGCAGUUUACAUAUUUAUCAGGCACUGAACUAAGUAUUUGAAGGCAAUCCUUGCCGUCCAGAAAUGUGCAGUCUAAAAUUUGCUUCAGUGAUGCAAAAAACAAAUACAUCAAGAGUAUAUGUGUAUGCCAAAACAGUUAUGUAGAGGAAUGCUUAAUUAGAAUAUGAAACAGUAACACCAUAUAUGUAUCUGUCUAAAUAAGUGCCCAUGGAUUUGCUGAAGUUUCACAUCACAUAAUUGGGAUAUCAAAACAUUUUUAAUAUUGAAUGAUAAAAGUGGAUCUUGAAAGUAGUGAAAUUACUGCUUUCCAUCCAACUUACAUGUGAAUAAGUCUAUUGGCAAUAUGGGUAAAAUGUAUAUUCUGAUUCAGUAAGUGUGGAAUGGGGUCUGAGAUUCUUUGGAUCAGUUCACUUCCUAGGAAUGUUGAUGCCAUUGCGCUGUGACCACAGCUUAAGUAGAAAGAUGUUAGGUAAUAAGCUCCGUCAUAUGCAUUACACUUUAAAGUUUACAACAUCUUUCUCACAUAAUGUAUCAUCCAUUUUUACAACAAUUAUGUAAAGCAUGAAAAGUAAGUUGUUUAUUUUACAGAUGAGAAAACUAAAGUGAAUGUGACAAUUUCAAGCUUUUCAGGUGUAUGAACCUCUAAUUAGUAAACAUAGUGCAAGAGCUUUGUUUUUCGGAUUCCAUGAGUAGAUCGCUUUCAUUUACAUAAUGUUCCAAAGCUGUAUAGGAAUAGCAUGUAGUUCAGCUAGUUUAUUUUCCAUGACCAUUCAAAUUACUUACAAUAGCCAUUUAUAAAUUGCUCAUAGAAAUAUACAUUUACCUCAUUUUAAACUACAUAACAUGGAUCUUCUUAGUCUCCAGGAUCUGUAAUUAAUUUUCAAAAUGUUGUAUUGUAUCACUUAAUAGUGAUAGUUGACCUCUAACCUGGUAGCAGUACUCUAAAAAACAAUUUUAGAGUUUCUGAAAAAUAAAAAUCUGCAAUGAUCAACACACACUUGAUUAGCCAAUAGUAGGUUAUGAGGUUUUAGAGAAACACAGGGGCCAGAAUACCUGCAUCUAAAUUUUAGCUCUUCCACUUUCCCUAUGAGAGAAGUCAGUUAAAGGAACAAAUGUGAAGGAUUCCCACCUAUCACUGGAGGAAGAUAAUCAUUUUUCUUUGCUUUUCUCAAAUGCUUGUUUUGUACCAUUAUAUAAAUAAACAUUUUACCAGUAUGGCUUGGUAAAAUGGAAAGACAUUCUUGGGUUCGCAUCUUAAUUCUUUCAUCUAUUCCUUCUGUGUGCAUAGCCCUCCAAGAACUCAGGUUUUUUUUUUUAAAAUUUUAUUCACUUAGAUCCAUAAAAUUUAUAGUGCAUCAGCCAUGUCCCAGAAGUUAGACAACUUAGGUUUAGUAUAGAAUGUCCUUACUCUCAAUGAGCUCCAAUCAUGAGGUGAGGAAUCUCACAAUAUAAUAAGCUCUACCAUAGCCUGAAAUUAUCUGAUCAACUGUAACAUGAGGAUUAUGCUACAUAUGUAACUCGGAAAAUUAUUGUGAGGAUUGAAUAAGUUAAUUUUAAAAAAACGUAAUUGAACUCUGUGACUGCAAAUGUAUUGGCUCUCGUAGUGUCUAGUUUCCCUCUGUUUUUCCUCAGACGCAGUAUUAAAAGUUGUACGGAAUAAUUUCUUAAAUCCUGUAACUAAAGCAAGAAUGUAAAUCAGUGGAGCAAGUGAUAUUCUUUUAUAUUCAUCUUAAUGGUUCUAUGCCCUAAGGAAACAUGACUUGUGGAUUCCUUGAGAAUAUGACAUUCAAUUCUGAGUAUUGUUUCUUUCCUAAAAUAGUGAUGAUGAUUCUGUAUUUAUCUCUAACACUGUAAAAAUGCAUCAUUUCUCAUUCUGAGGGAAAAAUCACCCGAGGGCAUGGUGAUUGUGAUAAAUUUUCCAUUAUUUUUAAUAUCUUGUCUGUGUAUACUGUCCAAAGGUGACGCGCCUUGACAAGUUGACAUGGAAGCUUUGCUACAUAGAUAAAACACUGUUGUGAAUAAGAGGUCAGGACACAGGGAAGCUGGAUUUUUACCACUGUGAUGGGUAAUGCAUGCCUCAUGUCAUCUAUAAUCACUUAUUUUUUAAUUGACAAAUAAUUUUUUAUAUGUAUGGAGUACAAUGUAAUGUUUUGAUGUGUAUGCAUUUGUGGAAUAAUUAAAUUAAGCUGAUUUGUAUAUUAACUACCCAUAUACUUUUUUUUUUGGCGAGAACAUUUAAAAUCCACUGUUCUAACAAUUUUGAAUUAAACAACACAUUGUUAACUAUCGUCACCAUGGUGGGCAAUAGAUCACUAAAACUUAUUCCUCCUGUCUGAUCAAAACUUUGUUGGCUUUGACCAACAUCUCCUCUUUCCUCAUCCCCCCAUGACUUAUCUUUAUUUCUUCUAAACAAACAAACUUUUAAAGUAAUAGGUCCUCUUGUAGAAAAUACAGAAAAGUAGAAAGAGGAAACAAAACAUUUUUUUGUUUUGAAAAACAUUCCCCUUGCUUCAACUAUUUGCAGUUCUCUUUCAAUGCUUGUCAAUUCUAUUUUUUGCUGAAGUUGCUUCUGUUUUGAGCACAAAUGGAAAAUCAUGACUAUGUAUCAUAGAGUUCAAUAAGAAGUAAUUGACCUGCGUUUGUCAAUGAUGGUUCGUUGGGAGUGAGUUUCCCUUCCUAGACUAUGUUUUGACUUUCAGUCAAUUUUUCCUUCAAUUUCAUAUACUUACUAGUUACCUCUUGCUCACUUACUAUGGUGUGAUAGAAAUUUUUUUUCUUUUUUCUUUUUUUUUUUUUUUUUUACUUUAAGUUCUGAGCACUAAAUGGAAUUUAAGCUUUACCAGGUAGAAGUAAAUGUUUUUUCCCUGGUUAAACAUUGCUUUCCAUAUUCCAUUAGUCAGAUAAAGGGAAAUAUGAGGAAGCAUUUAGGGUACAUUUCGGAUAUUGACUGCUUAAUGGUCUACUUCUGGAAAAAGAUUGAACUGGCAUCCUCAUAAAAGCAAAGGAAAGGAUAUCUCAUAAACCAAGGUGAGAGGCACAGGGUACGGAGUUAAGGCUUAAAUGUCUGUGCAUAAGUACAAGAACUGUGCUUCCUGGGUUUUAUUUUUCUUUCUGAGAUUGCUGCUAAAGUAGUGAUUUUGCUGAUAGCAGUAUGAGGAAACAGAGUAGUAAGACUUUAUAAGAUAUGAUCAUUCCUUUAUUGUAUAUGUAUGUGUUUAAGUCUGUUUGAGCCGCUGUAACAAAAUAGCAUAAACUUGGUGGCUUGUAAACAACAGAAAUUUAUUUGUCACAGUUCUGGAAGCUGGGAGCUCAAGAUUAAGGUGCCAGCAGAUUCAAUGUCUGAUGGGGGCCCACUUCCUGGUUCUUGGACGGCCCUUUUGUGCUGCAUCCUCCCACGGAAGGAGGGCAAACAAGCUCCUUUGAGAAACCUCUUUUUAUCAUUAUAUUCAUUUUUUUUAAUUGACACACAAUAUUGAAUAUAUUUACCAAGUGCAACAUGAUGUUUUGAAGUAUAUAUAUAUGUAUAGUGGAGUGAGUAAAUCUAGCUAAGUGACAUAUAUGAUUCCUCACAUAGCUAUCAUUUUUGUGGUGAUAACAUUUAACAUUCAGUCUCUUGGCAUUUUUCUAGUAUACGAUAUGUUGUAGUUAAGUAUAUUCACCAUGUUGUACAUUAGAUCUCUCCAACCUCUUUUCUAAGGACACUAAUCCCACUCAGGAGUGUUCUGCCCUCAUGACCUAAUCACCUUGCAAAGGUUCCACUUCCUGUUACCAUCACCUUAGGGGUUAGGAUUUAAGCAUAAGAAUUUGAGGGGGACACAAAACUUCAGACCAUAGCAGUAUGUGUGUAUGUAUAUAUGUGGGUUUUGUGUGUGCAUUAUACAUAGAUGUGUGCUUACUUAUUAAUGGCUGCAGUAAUGGCAUUUUAUGUUGUCUUUGCAACACACACAAUUCUGCCUUAUUCUUAUUUUAAGGAUCUCAGCAUGUUCAUGUUUCAAAUGGAGAUUGCUACAUACAAAAUUUAAAGGAUACUGUGUUUUGAAAAAAAUAGUUUGCUUUUUUACUGGGCAUUCAGGCAUAGAGUACCGAUACUAUGUGACAUAUUAUGGUAAUCAUGCAUGAAACAAAGAUAUUCAAAAAAUGCCCUAAGCCAUGGGGAAAAAAGCAUACCAGGACUUCAAAAGAGCAAUGGUUCACUUAGUCUUGGGUAUAGGACGCAUGAAGAGAGGCUAUAGAAGAAUGGGUCUCAUAUACCAAGUCAGGAAAUUUAGGGUUUUGUUUUUUUGCAGGUGGUGAGGAGCUAUUGGAGACUUCAGUGUGUUUUAACAUAUUCAGAAGGUUGUGCAUUCAUCACCAGUAUCUAAUUUCAGAAGGUUUUCAUCACCCCCAAAAUAAAUCCCAUACCCACUACCAGUCACUUCCUAUUCCAUCCUUCCCCCAGCCCCUGGCAGCCAUCAGUUUACUAUCUGUCUGUAUGGAUUUGUCUAUUUUGCACAUUUCACGUAAGUAGAAUCAUACAAUAUGUAGCCUUUUAUGGCUGGCUUCUUUUACUUAGCAUGUUUUCAAGGUUCAUCCAUGUUAUAACAUGUGUCCACGUGUCCUUUUUAUGACCGAAAAUAUUCCAUUGUAGGAAGAGAUCACAUUUUAUUCAUUAAUUAGUUGAUGGACAUUUCAGUUGUUUUUACUUUUUCACUGUUAUGAAUUAUGCUGCUAUGAAUAUUAACAUUUGUUUAUACAUUUUGUGUAGAUACAUGUUUUUAAUUAUCUUAUAUAUAUAUAAAGUAGGAGUAGAAGUGUUGGUAAUGUGGUAACCUGUUUAACUUUAGGAAUUACCAAACUGUUUUCCAAUGUGGCUGCACAUUUAUAUAUUCCCAUCAACAACAUAUGAUGAUUUCAGUGUUUUUACAUCCUCAUUGGAGGCUUAUAAGGAGUUUUAAGAUUAUAAUUAUGCAUUAAGAAUGUAUGUGUGGUAGCAAGAGUAGGAUUGAUUAGCAUGAGGGAGAGAAUGGAGAUGGAAAAAUCAAAGACGAGAUGAUUAUAAAAGUCAGGCAAGGGAUGGUGGGGCAGAGAAUGACGAUGGAAUAGAGGAGAAAUAUGCAAAAUAUUGAGUGCAGAGCGAUGAUGGCUAGUGAGCAGGAGGAUGAGCAUACUGAGGUUUUGAGAUUGAAGGGUCAUUAAGAGAAGCAACAAUAAUUUCAAGGUUUAAGUUAAAUUCAGCUUGGGAUACAGACUUGCUGGCAGAAUAUCCAGGGGGAGAUGUUAAGUGGCUAAUGAUACUUUUUUUAAUGUGAAAUUUCAGCCUUGAAGUUGUGGCAAGUCUUCAUUUUCUCUGACUUGUGUUUGUGUAAAUGUGGCCUGUAGUAAGGAUGGGCAAGGCAGGUGCUGGUAAGAAAUGCUAAGUCCUGGGGCCUCUCUCACAUGUAUUACGUCAGAAUUCCGGGUAUGGUAUCAGGAAUUUCUAUUUUAACAAGUAGUUCAGCUGAUUCAUUUACAUACUGGACUUUUAAAACUACUGCUGUAACCUACUAGCGUAAGAAGAGGUCACUGCAAGAAUCUCAGUGGCAAUGGCAACUCGAACUACUCUGAGGAUUAUGUACAGUUGAGAACAUUCAGUUUCGAGUUUUAUUGACAUCAUGCCAGACACUUCACACUUUUUCUUUCCUUUUAUUCUAACUAAUUUUCUGAGGUAGGACUAUGAUAAUCCUCAUUAUAAAAAUGAAAACAUUGAGCCUUGGAGAGUUUUUCUUUUAAGAGUGACUCAAUGGCAGACCUAAGAAGAAAUUUAAGAAUAAGUUGAGGAAGAAAAGCCCAAAUUAAAAAAAAAGUAGCUAUGAACUGAUAUUUACUUGUUAACCAUUUCUUUUCCUAGUCCCAGAACAGAUUUUUCUAUAAUAAAAUGGCAGAUCUAAGAGAUGCAGAAUUGAGAUUUGAACACUAAAAUGUCUUUUCACUUUAUCAAGCCAUAUUGGUAUAAUUUUUAUUUACUAUAUAAAACAAGGAUUGGCUAGAGAAAAGGAAAAAGAAAUGUUAUCUUCUUCCAGUUUUGUGUAGGAAAUCCUUCACGUUUGUUUUCGAAGGACUGGAGUAGAAAGUAUUUAAAUAAAUGGAAUUGUAUGUCAUUAUCAUCAUCAUCAUCACCACUAUCAUCAUAAUACAGAAAGCGUUCUCCAGCACCGUUUUGCUGAGCUGUGAGUGCUCUGCACCUUGCAAAUAUAGAAAUGCUGUAUCAGUUUGUCUAGUAGUAAUAAUGGAUUUUGUAAUUGGAUUUCAGAAAACACUGCAACAACUCUCCAGGUAUCUUACAAAAUCCCUACCCUGAGGCAAUCUCUCAGUGGUAGUAUUAGAUUUGGGCAGUAGCCAAGGUGACCUUGAUUUUGCUGCUAACAAAGCUGCUGAGGCUUGCAGAAUUAUCACAACUCACUCUAUACACUUUGUCUUUCUUCUUUUUAUGGGCUAUGGGGAAGUGCCUUCUUGGUGUAAUUUAUUACAUUAGGCAGGAGAGUUUGCGGAAACAAGUAUUUUUGUCAAUUUAGUCAUAGUGAAUGAUAUAAUAAUAUCAUUAUAUUGUUUAGUAGUGAAUAUUUUAAAGAAUAUGUUACCAUUUAUAUUUUUUCAAUUAGAUUAUACAUUUAUAGCUCCCCAAGGGCACUGACUAUCCUAGUACAGUUUUAUAUUUCUCAAUACAUUCUGCAUAUACCUGUAAUAGACAGUUACGGCAAACAUAAUUUAUCAUCCGAGCCUGGAUAAUUUUCAAGUGAAAUGAGAUACCGUGAAUAAUUUUGCCAGAACCAUAGGCAUAAACUGGAAAUAUACCAGACAAACUGGAUGUAUGGUCACCAUCAUUAAUGAAUGCUAAAAAGGCAUAACAUUAUUUCCAUAUUAUCUGAGGAGCCACGGAGUAAGAUCUCAUGAUCUGGAUUAUAGCUGAUAAUAGAAAUAAUUGCCCUUUAUUCAUUAUUAUAUCUUUAGCUUUUAUUUUAUUUCAGGAACAACUCAGUGGCAGACAUAAAAAGAAAUUGAAGAAUAAUGUGAGGAAGAAAAACUCAAAUGUGACAGUAGCUAUGCACUGAUAUUUACUUGUUAACCAUUUCUUUUUGCCAUUCCCAAAAUAGACUUUUCUAAAAUGGUAUUCUGCUUCAGUUAGAGGGCUUUGUGUUGUUUUUAAGUGUAGUCACUGUAAGUUUCCUAGGUAACCUGUAAUAUUCAGUGUUCAGGCGCCUCUAGUAAGUAAAAUGUGUUGAAGGUACAUAGCUAAAAGAAAAGAGUUUUAAUUUAGGCAUUUGCAAGAUCCCUUUCAUGUGAUUUUAUUUGCUUUGAAAAUAUUAAUAAUUUUAAAUUCACUUUACUAAGUUAUAUCUAACCUUGGGUAAAGUAUGGGCAGAGGUGCAGUGCGGAAUACGUGCAACUGAAGAGGAAGGACAUGAAACGUGGGGGAGUUUCUCAACUGCAUCCUGAUGGAGACACUGAGUCUUAAUUCAACACUCAUUUCUCAGAAUUCUAAUGAACAGUUGUUUUUGCAGAAUAAGUAAUGAAAGUGUGCUGAGUUUCAUCCUGCAUUUACAAAGAGCCAGGAUGAGCACUCGGUUUGGUGAAACUCAUGGCCAUAUUUUUUGAUGGAAUAGAUUUACCAUUCCCCAGCCUGUUGUAUCGGGUUAACUUGAUAGAUAUCAGUCAGUAUAUUCUUAAGAUUAAUUUGGAAUUUUUCCCUUUUUCACACACAAUAAAAGUAUCAUGUAUUGAUACAGCCUGUUUCCCAGACACUCUUAUUAUCUUUGAGUGUGGAGGAGAGACAUAUUUUCACAAUUCAAUUGGUAUCUGCCAACUGAGCUUCCUAAAGAACACCACACUAGAGCAAGGUGAAAUCUGAUGUGCAAGAAAAAUACUAAUUAUUAUUCUUUCCUUUUGAGUUUCCAGAUGCUAACAUUUUAACAAUGAAAAAAUUAAUCUGGAAUCCAAUAAUCAUGUUCGGGAGUUUACAGAAUUUUUCAGAAUAGAAGUAAAGGUGUCUGAUAUGGAAACUGAUUUUCCUCUGGACAUUCUAAGGACAUGUUACAGCCGAAGAACCUUAUUUGAGUCUCUUCAAUAGAGUCUCUUCAAUAGAGUCGGCUGUUAAGAAUGCUGUAUUUCAGCGUUCUUUGUUGAACCUAAGAGAAUAAGAAACCUGGCUUUCAUCCAUCUCUUUUCACCUACUCAGCACUAAGUACUCAUUCCCAUGUUCAUGGCCUUAUCAGGAUGACCCCACCAAGUUUUACAGUCUCGUCUCCCACUUCUUGCCCCAUUUACUUGUAUUCUCUCUAGAUUUGAUUUAUGGAUAGUAUCUGAAUACAUGUCACACCUGUCAUGUUCUCUGUUCCUGUGGCUUCCUCUUCAUACCACACCUUUCCUGGUAAAAAUGUAAUUUGAAUUAUAAGGCAAAUCUCUAUCAAAUGUUUCUCUAUUUCUUUUGCUAAUCUAUUUUUUGUUUGUUUUUGUUUAUAUUUUGCUUCUUCGAAUCCUCACACCAUAUAACCUUGGUGGUAUUUAUAUCAUGAUCAUUUUAUACUUGUUAUAUUCUACCUUUACACUGCCAGUCAUAACUAGAGACAGGAUUGUAUCUUAAAUAUUUUCGUGAUAUUUUCUUCUAUAUUUUAUACUUCAGUAAAUCUUUGUUGACCUGAAUUACAUUUUACUUUUAGAUGUCCAAGACUUGAACUAUAUUUCUUUCUUUAUAUUACCCAUGCAUAUUGUUCUCUUGAUUUGCCCCAGCUUUAAGCCUUCCUAAGUCACUUCGUCCAAAAUGUAGAUAUUUAAAGGACUAUUUAUGAUGUUCUAAAGGUCCAAGCAGUUGGUUAUUCAUGAUGGCUAUCUCUUCCUCCCUCCAGCACCACUGGUGUUUAUUAACGUACCUUAGUAUAAAGAUACUGAUCACAUCCCUGCGCUGUCAUGGUGCUUACAGGUAUAAUAGUGUCUCUCAUUUGAGUAAGGCCUUAUUAAAUUCUAAUUAGUACUACGUAUGCAUAGCAUUUUAACCUAGUUACCAUUUUUCCAUUGGCUGAUCUGUCAGAUUAAUGGCUUGCAUAUAAGAGCCUAAGAGAAUGUGCAGAAUUUGUGGCUUUAAGGUGAGAAGGCUCCGGAACAUGAAGAACACUUAAAAUAAAAAGAAAUACCAAUCAUGUAUGAAUGUGUGUGUGGGUUAGCCUUGUGAGGCUUUGUCAAACAGAAAAGGUCACCCAACUCUAGCAAAGAGGAAAUUGGAGAAUUGUGUGUUUUGAGUAAAAUCCAAGCAGCACCAAAGGUAGGCAAGCUGCCAUGUUUGGCUGAGACCCAGUCUUAUCUUGUUACCAGUACUCUUCCCUUUAAACCAUCCUCUCAUGGAGUCACACAAAUACAUUAACUCACCUCUUUGUCAUUCAGAUGGUUGGUGCAAGAUGCUUUUAAGAUACAAUAUUUGGAGGAUUUAUUUGUGUCUCAUUUCAUCUAAUAAAGAGAGUAAUAAUAGAGGAAUUGCCUUGAAGAUGGAAAGGAGAGGAUUCACAGAUUAUCAUCUUCAGUAGACUAUUGGAAUAUUUAACAUCAUGUUUCCAUUUGUUCAAAAAUCCUUCAAAGAAACUUUUAAAAAACAUAUUUAUACCCCCAAAUUUCUAAGGCUUCUUUUCAAUGAACCAAUAUUUACCAGUCAUAUAGAGCUUAGCACAGUUCUUAUCUUAUAGAAGUCAGUUAUUAUUUUUUUGGUUAACCAACUAGAUGGAUGAUAGUUCGUAACUGACAACUAAUAUGUUGUCUGUGUGUGCAUGUUAUCUCAGUAUGUCGAGUGAUGUAUGAGAGGCGGAAUAAAAACCUAAGGUAGUACAGAGUGGAUCAAAACUACUUAAGAUUUGAUGGAUCAAGGAAGGCUUCAGAAGGAAAUGGUGUUUGGGACAAUUAUAGUGUGAGGAGAAUUUGGAGGAGAUGGUAACAGAAGACAAAGUUUGGUCAAUCCAAGUGGAAUGAAAGCAUAAGUUGAAACAUAAAGUUAAAAGUCAAUAUGGAGUAGGAAAGUUUAGGCAAUAGUAAAUUAUUUAGAGUUUAAAGUUAAUAGGGAAGUAGAAUGGUGAAGGAGAAGUGUAGAAAUGCAAGGAGGAGCCAGGUCAUGGAGGGUCUUUGAUGCUAGGUGGAGUAGACUGAAUAUAUUCAAUGGCAAGUCACUGAAGAAUUCUAAACUGAAUGAGUUUAUGACUUGGCUUGCAUUCAGGAAGACAAAACUGUCAACAGUAUAUAUGAGGAACUGGAGUGAGUAGGUACUAGAGGCAGGGAAGCCAGAAACAGAUUCAAUUGUCAAGAUAAGAAGUAAUGAGGGCCUGGACUGGAACAAUGGCAGUAGGACUAUAAGGAAAAAAAAAUGAUUGUAAUAUUAAGAGGGUUGAAUUAGCACUGGAAAAGAAAACAAUGCCUGAAGCUUGGUUGGUGUCUUUUUGUCAUAAUCAGAAAGAGGAAUUUCAAAAGAAAAAUUAGGUCUGGGAAAAUGAGAAUGAACUCAGUUAGAGGAUCUUCAAAUACAAACACAGCUAUAGGUAAGUCAGUUAACUGAGUGAAAACAAUAACUAUAAGCAAUAACUAAUAGAGAUGUGCAGGGUCUACAUAGUGCAGUGGUUCUCAAAUGUGAGUGUGAGUCAGAAUCACAUGCACAUUUAUGGAACACUUGUUCAAACACAGAUUCCUGAGUCUCACCCCAGAAUUUCUGAUCGUGUAGGUCUUGAUAUGGCCUGAUAAUUUGCAUUUCUCACAUAUUCCCAGGUGAUGUUGGUGCUGUUAGUCAACCACUUUGGGAAUUUAUGCUACUGUAGCCCAGCUCACUGUAGCAUGAGGCACAUGAGAAUCAUCUGAGGAGCUUAAAGGAAGCAUACCAAUACCUGGGUUCAAACCACAUCUAUUAUAUUAAAAUAUUUCUGGGGGUUUUUCGUGUUUAAGUAUCUCAGGUGAUCCCACUAGGCAGCCAGGCCAAAAACCACUAGUCAGUUCUUCUGAUAUUUAAAAAUUAAAAUGACCUGGCGCAGUGGCUCACAUCUGUAAUCCCAGCACUUUGGGAGGCCAAGGUGGGUGGAUCACUUGAGGUCAGGAGUUCGAGACCAGCCUGGCCAACAUGGCGAAAACCCAUCUCUACUAAAAAUAAAAAAAUCAGUCGGGUAUGGUGGCAAGUGCCUGUAGUCCUAGCUACUUGGGAGGCUGAUGGGGGAGAAUUGCUUGAAUCUAGGAGUUGGAGGUUGCAGUGAGCCAAGAUUGCACCACUGCACUCCAGCCUGGGUGACAGAGCAAGACUCCAUCUCAAUUUAAAAAUAAUUAAAAAAAAUAAAAAUAGAUAUUUAUAAGUAAAUGUUUCUAAUUUUUAUAACAUUGCAUUUACCAAAUAAACAAAGAUGUGGACUUCCAAGUUUGCCAACCCAGCUACACAACUAGGGCAACAUCUAGCUAGGGGUCACAAUAGGCAGCCGAAAGGCAGGGUCAGGACCUGGAAGAUACAUUUGUGUUGUGGUCAUAGAGCUAGGUAUGUAUUUGUAACUUUUUAAAUGUGGAGCAAAUCUAGCAAUCAAAUGGAAAUUAUGAAGUUUGAUAUUGUCCAAAUAAAAUGGUUAUUUUAAAAUGCUCUUCCUCUUUUCCGCCUUGGCUCAUUUUUAGUCAAAGUACUUUGUUGUGUAUGCAAUUGUGAAUCAUAUUGGAUUAGUCCAUUCUUGCACUGCUGUAAAGAAGUACCUGAGACUGGGUAAUUUAUAAAGAAAAAGAGCUUUAAUUGCCUCACAGUUUUGCAGGCUGUAUAGGCUUCUCCUUCUGGGGAGGCCUCAGGAAACUCACAAUUAUGGUUGACAUAGGAAGGGGAAGCAGGUGAUAGCCAGAGCAGGAGGAAGAGAGAGACGGGGAGGUGCCACACAAUUUUAAACAACCAGAUCACAUGAGAACUCACUCACUAUCAUGAGAACAGCACCAAAGGGAUAGUAUUUAACCAUUCAUGAGAAACGCACCCGCAUGAUCCAUCACCUCCCAACAAACCCUUCCUCCAACAUUGGGGAUAACAAUUAGACAUGAGAUUUAGGUGGGGACACAGAUCUAAGCCAUAUCACAUAUAAUCCAGAUCAACUGGCCCCAAAAGAUGCCAGUAUCUCCUUACUUAUUUCCCACAUGCCACAAAUGCCCUGCCACAAGAUGAACUCAAAUUUAAAGUUCUCCAUUUAUCUUUAUAAAUUUCACUUUUUAGAUCCAUUAAUAGAACGUGAUUUCCUGACGUAGAAAAGUGACAAGAAGGGCCAGGCGUGGUGGCUGACGCUUGUAAUCCCAGCAUUUUGGGAGGCCGACGUGGGCCACCUGAGGUUGGGAGUUCGAGGCCAGCCUGACCAACAUGGAGAAACCACAUCUCUACUAAAAAUACAAAACUUAGCUGGGCAUGGUGGCACACGUCUGUAAUCCCAGCUACUCGGGAGGAUGAGGCAGGAGAAUUGCUUGAACCCAGGAGGCAGAGGUUGCGGUGAGCCGAGAUCAUGCCAUUGCACUCCAGUCUUGGCAACAAGAGCGAAAUUCCAUCUAAAAAAAAAAGAAAAGAAAAGAAAAGAAAAAAAGAAAAGUGACAAGAAUUAAUUAGUAUGUCAUAUAUCAUGAAUUACUGAUGGCAGUGAUGAGCCCUUGAUCCUUUUAAAUUAGGAUUUUAAAAGAACUAAAUGCAUGUGUACCGUUACAAAACUAUUUAAAGCAAAGCAAUUCAGAGAAACAUCUUCAAAUUUGAUUUUAUAUAUUUUUCCUAAUAAAAUACUAAAGCUUAAUUCUAAGUUAUUCAUAAAACCAUUAUUGACAUGAUGGCAAAGAGACUUGGCAGCCAUUGAGACCUGCCUGCAGGUGUUUUACAGCUCCAUGUGUUUUUAUUUUGUUGUCUACGUUCCUCUUUGCUCUCUAAUAAAGAGCAUUUACCCACAGUAAUAGAGUCAAACUCUUGUGCCCACUUCUUCCCCUGGAUUAGACCUCUUUGCUUCAGCUUGAAUUUGGUUACCGGCUGGUACAAAGUGAAAAGAGUGGAGAUUCAAACUGAACCUGAGAAGAAUAUGGAAAAAGUACUUAUUCAGUUUAAAAAUAGUAACAACAACAAAAACAACAGCAGACGCUCAUAUAGCGCUUAAGGUGUUGGGCAGUUUUAUGUGCACUGCAUGGAUUAACUCGUUUUAUCCUCAAAACAAGCUUAUGAAAGAGGUACCUUCAUUAUCCCUCUUUUAGGGAUGAGGAAACUAAGGCCUUGUGUGGUUAAUUGACUUGCACAGUGCCAGAAAGCUAGUUAUCGGCUGGGUGGGGAUGUGAAGCCAGGUUUAUCUGGCUGAAAGCAAAUGUUCUUAACCACUGUGCUCUUGCAUACUGUAUGUAUAGCAAGUGCCACUCAGUAAACAUGCUUUCCUUGCUGCACAGAUUAUAAAUAAAACAAACACAUUAGAAACAUCAAGUUUCCUGAUUCGAUUAAUUCAUCUUCUCACAUCCUUAAUAUUCAAUUAUUAAGAUGCUUACCAGUACAAAGAAAAAAUUGUUGUGAAAUAAAGUGAUAAGAGUUGGAAACCAGAGUUUAAGCCCGUGUUUGCUCCACACUCUCUGUAGAUUAAACAGAUAUUGCAUUUCUCUGGGCCUCAGUUUUCUCACCUGAAAAUGGUAGUUUUAAAGAUUAUUUUCAGCUCCACAAUUUUGUGAAUUAAACUUGAUUUCUGAGAUAAAAUGAAAAAGGAAUGAGAGAACUAUUUAGAGAUUGUUUUCUACCCUGCUAUUGCCUACCAAAUCCUACCAAAUGUCAAUAAUUUUCUUUUUAUAAAUCUUUUAUAGAAGUUUCUGAUUAUGUAGCAUUUUAAAGGUAUUGUUUAUUACACGUUAUAAAAAAUUUUAUAUAAAGGGAAACCAAGUUUUUUAGCACAUACAAAUUUUAUGAUAUGUAUUUCAUUUGAUGGAACGAUGUGCAAAUUCAUUUACUUUCCAUGCAAGAGUGAUCUUGUUUUGAUUUCAGACUAAGAGCUGGAAAAAUAAUUUCCAUUUUGUUGUUAAAGACAAUGGAUAGUAAAACAAGAUCUGGGUGGCAGGGAAUAACCUCCAUUACCAGGGGGUAGAUAACAAAUGGCUGGAUGUGUGACAAUGUCCAAUUCAUAAAAUUCUGGUUAACAAUAAUUUAAUAAUACUUCUUUGUGCGAGGAGAAAAAAUAAAAGAAAUAGUCACUUGGAGAAAUGUAAAUGGGAGGAGAUGGUGUUUUUCUGUCAUUGAAUAUAACAAUACACUACAUUGUCUUUGUAACAAUGGUCUGGAAAUUGGUUUCAGAGGAAAGUAAAUUUUCCUAAAUUUACUGUGUUAUCUGAGCUCCUUGUGAACUAUAUUCCUAGGGUCUAGCAAGGUGCCUUGUACAUAAUAGAAACUCACGUGCUUGUACAAUGAAUUAAUCAUGACUAUAUUCAACAUUUUAAUACAGAUAAGAUAGUGGGAUGCAUAGAGAGGAGGGCAGCAAAGUGAAGAAGGAGGAGUCUUAAAAUUAAUUCCUGUGAGGAAAGAAUAAUAAAAAGCUGGACGUUAGAUGAGACUUUUAGGGAAACUAGAAAGUUGUUUUUAUGUCAUUGAAGAAUUAUAUCAAAGAAAUGGCUUUGUUUUAUAUGUCUACCACCAGUAAAAGAUUGGCAGAAUUUCUUCUACAGGGGAAAAAGGUUUUGGAGGAAAUAAGAGAGAGCAGUCUAAUCUGUACAGAGAUGGCUCUGAGCUAUUUGGAGAGACAAUGAGAACUUCCUAACAGAAGACCUGCUAGGAGAUAAUAGGUACAGAGUCGGCAGGAGUGUUGUGGAGAAGCUGUCAGCCUUAAAGUAGUAUUGAAUUUAUGGCUUUUUGGCCUUUAAGACCCAUAUAACCAUUAGCCAAGCACUUACAUUUGGGCCCAAUGCUACAGAUAAUGUGUAGUAAGUAAAAAUCUUAACUGAAGAAGCACCAUUGCUCCAAUGAAUAAUUGCCAUGUGAGGUCCAUCAAUUAUAGUGCUAAGGUUUAGCAACCAGCAGUAGUGGUGUGAGGGUAAGAAAGACUUCUUUAAAUUGCUGGGUGAUGAGUACCAAGUAUUUCUCCUCUCUCCCUUCUUCAUUGGCUCAGAAAAACAGACUCUGAGACAGAGAUUAGUGCAGAGUCUAAUGGGCAGGUGGGGGUUAUUUGAGAAUGAAAAUGAUAUCAACACCUUCGAGGGAAAGCCAGGAAAGGGAAGACAAGGAAACAGGAUUCAGCAGAGGGAAUUGUGAGUAAGGAUGAAGCUUUGAUGGGAGAACACAGCCAUUCACUCCUGUAGAGAGUUCGGGAAGAGCCGAUGACAACGUAAGCAUCCUCUGAUUUAGGCUGAAGAGGAUUGGCCCCUAUACCUCCAUGUCGAUUAGUCAUUGUAAGGCAGCUCUCUUAAGCAGAUCUGGGGGGAGCUGAAAGCAUGAAGAAUUUCUUCCAGCAGUUCUCCCAGCAGCUGUGGAAUAAAUUCAUUCCUAAGGAGGCAACUGGGUUACAUGUGAGAGUACCUAAAACAAUUGUUUUCAUGUAACUACAUUUAAGUUGACAAAUAUUAUUCUUUACAUAAUGCAAGUUCCUAAAAUCAUUCUUCUCCAAACAUUCUUAUGUGAUCAAAGAUGUGUGUGCUAUUUAGCUUCAUCCUAAUGUUGAUAUUUAAGACAGCUGUUGGCCUUGGACUAACAAUGCUUAUGAGUUGGCAUUUUUAACAACUUUUAACAUGUCAAUUACCAAUUUGCCUUCUCCAUGCUUAUUUCUGCUCGUGGGUAAGUUGCUUCAUCAUAACAACUGAAACUAUGUGGAACACAGGAAAAUGUGACUGAUCUGGAAGCCAGUUUGUAGUUAGAGCUCCUUUUUUCUACUGUAACACACAUAUAGACCUAUUUGGAGCAUCUGAUGAUGGUGACCUAUGUGUCACUUGUCUCUUCUCAUUCCACAUCUUCUGUUAGCAAAAAUAUUUGACAGUACCAUUACCUCCCCCAGGAGAACAUUUGCAAAUAAAAAAGUAAAACACACCAAGAUUCAUGGAAGAAAUGUUACUGUGCUUACUCAGAGAUUCACUGUUAUUAUUUCUAGCUUUGGUUCUGGGUUCUCUCAUUUAUUAAACAUGAAAUAUUGAGAAAAUAUCUUGCCUUUUCUGGCUCUGAAUUUCCUAAGCAGUAAAAUGAGUAUAACACUGAUCUCACGUGGUUAUUGUGAAGAAUAAACAAAAAUGAAUUAGUAAAUGUAAAACGUGACACACAAUCAUAUAGUUUCUUGGUAAAUGUUACAGUUCCCGUCUCUGUCGAAGGAAAAGCAUCUUCUAGAUUGAGAAAUGACCUAAUUCAGUUUGGCAUUCUAGUAACGAGCGUUAUAAUAUUUGUAAAUUACAUGGACACACAGGGAGAAAAGUAACAGUUUUUUAAAAAAAAGCCCCUCCCUUUUCUUGACUUGGGUCUUUCAUGCCCUGGUACUCCAGGAAGUUCCCCAACCCUGGAAUCAGAGCUCACUCACAGUCAAAUGCCCACAGCUUCCACAACGGUCAGUGAAACUGAAAGCUGCAUUGGAAUAAAUGGGCCACGAAGAUCCAAUCUAUUGAGAGUCACCACAGCUACAUGAAAUAAGGAACAAUUUGGCUGAAUCACAGGCCUGUGAGUAGUGUGAGCUGUGUUCAAUCUAUCUGUUGAGCCACGGAGAGAGACAGUUCUUAUGGUUCUUCAACUCUCUGGAGGAUAAACUCCUAUAGUGAUAGAAACUGUAACUUCCUGAAAUGAGGCAGUUAAAAUGAAGUAAAAUGAGAGCUAGACUGGAUCUAAGACUUAGUCUUGCCCCUUCUAAGCUGGGCGAUCUCAGAUAAGUCACUUGACUUAUUUGAAAACUGUAUCAUCAUCACUAUAGUGGAAAAAUAAUACUUACUCUGGAAAUGGCUGUGCGAAUGAAAUGAGAUGCAUAUUUAUAAAUGAGAAAAUAAAAUGAUAUGAGCAUUUAUCAAUUUAAAGAGCUUAAUUCAUGUCUGGAAAUAGUGUUAUUGGAUUUAGAGUUUCAAACAAGUAGAAGGUGUUCCCUCUUAAAAGGGUAAUUCCUAUUCUGAUUCAUCCAGAGCUCCCUACUGACUACAAAAGCAGCUUCCAAAAAAAAGGGAAAAAAAAAAGAAUUGGAGACGCUUUCAGAUAACCAAGACUUAGAAAUAGGCAGAUGCUCUCCUUCGCCUUCAGCUGCUCUGGCGCUCGCUUGCUGGGACAAUUGUGCUUACAAGGGGGAAGGAAGAGUGACAGCACACAGCGUUUUCUUGCCCAGAAGCGUAAGCACGUUCUGUGAGGAACCUUCUUGUGCAGAACUGUAGACAUUGAUAAAGAUUGGCACAUCAUAACCUGACAAGUUUUGCUGCAGGAAGAACAUGGGACAAAGACCAUUGGUACCAUUGCACUUCUGGGACUGGCACGAGACAGAUAGCUCUGACAAGAGCAGCUGCCACUCCAGACAGGGUGUUUGAUUUUUGUGUGUUUCUCUUUAUUGUAUUACACAUCACUGAUGCUAACGAGAUUGUCUCCACCAAAGCUCAAGGACCAGCUUUUGAAAUUAUCAACAGAAAUUACCAAGUUAUCUUUUUAUUUCUUUUUUUAACCCCCCCCCCAUUUUUGUGAAUUUUAAUGUUGAGAAGAAAAUAUGAGAGAUUCUCAGUCUCCAGGAUGCCACAAAAUGAGGCACAUUAUUUAUGACUGUUAAAUGACAAAUCCUGAAACUGCUUUGAGUCCAGGCAGGAUAAAAGGUUUAUAUUAAAUGUGACCUUUGAGUUUAAUGGUAUCUAGCAGAAACCUUCAUUUUGACUGUGCAAAUUGUGCUAUAAGUUAUUAGCCCAGUUUACUGCAUUUUCACACAGUGGAGUAUAGGGGGCAGACAGACAGCAGCAAAUAUAUAUGUAUUUCUUUUCACCUACCAUCUUCUAAAUAACAAGUUAUUUAAACUUAACCAUUCUUCUCCCCACACCGUUUUACAUAACACAUUUAAUACAUUUUUUUUUCCUGAAACUAACUGCCUGAACUAAAUCAGAGUUGACGUUUUAUGGGAAAUCUCUUCCCUACACUGUCCUCAGUUUUCAUAGCUGCAAAAUGACAGUGUUCGUAUUCAUUAUCAAUAUAUUUGUUUCUAGCUUUAAAUCUUCACUAUAUAACCUUCCUGUUUUUAUUGUCUAUGAAAGAAUAACUGUUAAUCAUGGCAACAACUCAGCGGUUUGCAGCCAGAUAAGUGAUUGGAAGAGCAAUCAACUUCUCAGAGAUUUCAGUAUUUAAAGGUAGGCCCUGCUGUGCACGUCUGUAUAAGUGACAGUGUUGCAACACAGAGAGGAUGCAUUUGAAAAAGAAGUUAGGCAAAACAGAAGUUAAAUUGCAAAUACAUGUUGUUCAAGUUGCACAAUGGGCUAUUUGGGAGAACGCUAUAGGCUGUUUAACAUUCCUGUGUUUAAUGUGGGAGAGACUUCACUUUGUAGCAAGAGUCUAAACUUUCGUGUUUUCCUAUUUCUUCUAAAAUAUGCAAUUAUGUAGGAUUUAUUAUGUUAUUUGAAAGGGAAAGCUAUUUUGUAUUAUGUCUUUUUUAAAGCAUUUAAAAAUGACCAUGCAGCAGAUCUAAUACCUUCUUUAAAAUGUAUUGUUAAAAUAACAAUAUUUUACAAUAUUUUUAUGUUUACAAAAAAUAAAGGCCAGUCACGGUGGCUCACACCUGUAAUCCCAGCACUUUGGGAGGUUGAGGCAGGUGGGUCACCUGAGGUCAGGGGUUCAUGACCAGCCUGGCCAACAUGAUGAAACCCCGUCUCUACUAAAAAUACAAAAAUUUAGCUAGGCGUGGUGGGGGGCACCUGUAAUCCCAGCUACACGGUAGGCUGAGGCAGGAGAACUGCUUGAACCUGGGAGGCGGAGCUUGCAGUGAGCCGAGAUUGCGCCGCUGCACUCCAGCCUCGGCCACAAGAGCGAGGGUCCGUCUCAAAAAAAUAAACAAAUAAAUCACAAUAUUGUGGUAUCACACACUAAACCGCCAUUGAUUUUUUCAUGUCCAGGAUUGAUCUUCUCUUCUACUAUGCUCCAUCCAAAGUGUUCUCCUUUGUCGUUAAUGGCAACUCUACCCUUUUAGUUGCUUAAAAACCACCACAACUCUCAAAAGCAUCCUGGAUUCUUCUCUUCUUUUAUAUCCCACAUAUAAUAUUUGAACAUUGUCAUGGCUCUGUUUUUUCAAUUAUAUGCAUAAUCUGACCAUUUCUCACCUUGUCCAGAGUGCCCCUCAAAUCCAAGCUUUCAGUCCUUCUCCUCUGGAAUACUGUAAUAUCCUCCUUAGUGGUGGGAAUCCACCAUUGCACCCUUGGAGCCUAAUCCAAACAACAGGAAGAGUAUCCUUUCGAGAUAUGAGACAUUAUGUCAUACCUCUGCUUUAAACCUUGCAAUCUCUCCUGUUUUCACAAUGGCUUACAGGAUCUAACCCAUCAAUACAUCUCUGACUUCUCUCCUGUUGUUCUUCUCGUUGCCUCCAGCCACCCUGGCCUCAUCACUGUCUUUGGUCUCAUCUACCUUGAUGAAUUUAUGAACUUCUUAAAAUUGCCACAUUCUUUCUCACAACACCUUACCCCCAUUUAUAUUCUAAUAGCACUCAUUUCCUCCAAUAUAAUAUUUAUUACAUGACUGUCUCUCUCUUCUACUCUCGUUAGAAUAUAAGCUCCGCGAUGGUAAAGACUUUUAUCUCUAUUCCUUGCUAUAUCCGAUAUGUAGAAAUUUAAUUUAAUUCUAUGACAAAUACCGAGGUCAAACAGAAGUGCUGCAAUUGUCAUUUAUGUUCAAGUUCAUAAAAUCCUAGGUUACUGUGUAACUUUCUAUUCUUCCAUCUCUUUUCUGUGUACUCUAUGUUGACUUUCCUAGAAUUUUAUUAAACUAGUUAUACCCUUCUUAGAGCUCCAGCCAAAGCCCCAUAUAUUACCAGGUCUGUCCACCUUUGUGGGGACAUGAACUACUCUUGGCUCUGUGUGAGCUCCAAGAAUUAUCUGGCUUUUUUCUUGUGUAUUUUUUUUCUCCCAUAGCCUUGGGUAGUUUCCUCUCACACAUAUGCAGGUCAGUAUUCGUCUAAAUUACUGACUUCUUUUAAUCUGAUACACUGACACCCAACUUCUAGCCACCUUGCCUCCCCUGGCUCCCUGAAAUCCAGUUUCUGUUUCCUCAGCUCAGUGAAUCUCCUUGGCUGUUUGUGUUCUUUCUUUCUGUGCCGCUGUCUAGACAUUUCCUUCUGGGGCAAUGCUCACUAUGUUUUUUUCUCUCAAGGAUCACAGUUGUACACUGCAUGUUUCCCAACAUCUGAAAAUCAUUGUUUCAUAUAUGGUAUAAUUUUUGGUUGUUUAAAGUGGGAAGUUAAAUCUAGUCACUGUUACUGCACCAUGGCAAAAACAGAAGCCCAGUGAAAAACUAUGAAAGCUAUUUUUUUUAUCUUUAAUCAAAGGAGCACGUAAGUGAGUCAGGUAGUGAAUGGUAUACAACAUGUGACUAAUGUUCACGUGUAGAACCUGCAAGUUAUCAAUAGGAAAGCAAUACAUUUUAAGUCAAGAACGUUUGGUUUCUGGCUGUACCAACUGCUGUUGUUUGACCUGAGGCAGAUAGCUCAACCUUAAUUUCAUCAUCUGUUUGUAUGGGAAAUGGAAGUCCUUCUGCUUUAUUACAGAGUUACUUCAAAGAUUAAAUGUGGUCACAGAUAUAAAAAUUCCUAUCUCUAAAAUCCUGUAUCCUAUCUCUAAAAUCCUGUACUGAUGUGAGGGGAUAUUCUUAUUUGCAUCAUCAUUAUUUGUGAAGCUAGAAAAUUCAGAAUGACAAAACACUUCACCUUAAUUCAUCUUGUGCAUGUUUAUCCUGAUAAUUUAUGUAGACAAGAAUACAUUCUCUUUUGAUAUAACCUGUGUCAGCUAAGAUUAAUUUUCACUUUAAACAAACUAAAAGUGGUUUAAACAAGGCAGAAGCUUGUUCUAUUAUAAAAAGGGAUCUGAAUGUCUACAGUCCAUAGCUAGCACAGGAUUCCCAGAGGACACUAGGAACCCAGCUUUCUAUUUUUCUGUUUUCCCAUCCUCAUUGAUAAUUUUCAUCACCUCUUGAUUCAAGAUGGCUGCUGGAAUUCUAGCCAUUACAUCCACAUUUCAUGAUGAUGAUGAAAAUGAUGAUGAUGGUGGUGGUGGUAGUGGCAAUAGCUGGAAGAAGUAGGGGAGAAAAUGUUUUCCUCUAAGCCAAAUCAACUCAUUUAAAUCAGCUUUUCUGAAAGUCCCAUAAUAUAUAUUCAUUUAUAUCAUAUUAGCCUUAAUUUAGUCAGAUGACUACAUAUAGCUACAAGGAAGAAUGGUAAAUAUUGUCUAACUUUUUAAGUAAUGUAGCCAAGUAUAAAAACGUGUGUUGUUAUCAAACACAUUAGAAAAGAAUGAAUACUGAAAGACAGUUGUCAGUUUCUGCCACAUGCUUUUAUCAACAAGGAAUUCUCUGAACUAGUUCAACUGAAGGUACUACAAGGAACACUAAUACUACACUUUAUGCCGAGUGAGACACUUAUAGACAGUAGCUAAGUUAGAUACCUCUCACGUGGCAACUGAGAAGCAUUUGGCUCAAAUUGAAAUUUGUCUAUUUUGAAAAAGUAAAUUCACUACAAAGGAGUUGCUCCCAGUAAAGAUAGGUCAAAGAAUGCUCUGAAAGCAUUCCUCAAAGAGGGUUCCCAACAGUGUUUUUUGUUUUAAAAUUGAAAUUAUUCUACAUUUAUUUGCAUUCUGGAAGUGACUCCGUUGAUAUUAAUAAUGUAUUCUCGUGAAAUAUCUAUUCACAAGAAAAUUCAAUAUAAUGAGAUUAAAAUAGUUUUUCUUUUAUAAUUUGGUGUAUAUAUAUAAAAUAUCCAAAUUACAACAUGUUCUUUAAUUUAUGUAGCAAAGGACAUAGUUCAUCUGAUGAGAAACUGUGGACAGAGAGAAGCACUUAACAUAAAACUAUGUAUGAGAUUCAGGCUUAAAGACAAUAGAGGUUCUUAUUCAGUGGCUAAACAGCUGUAUUUCUAGCUAUUUCUAUUAAUCUGACUACUCAUAUUGUCACACUCCCUACAGUGUUUUGAGUUAUGGUGGCUGAAAUUUGUGAAAUGCAUUCUAUGGAAUAUCGUAACAGACAUUCUUCUUAUUCUAGUUUCUAUAAAUCACAUCGAAGUGCUUUUAUAAAUCAAAUUUCCUUUUUCAUUGAAAAAUGAUAACUUCAAACAUUUUAUUUUCAUCCAUGAAGAUUUUUAAUAAGAACACUUGAAAGUACAUCUUUAGGAUUUUCUUGACUUUCUCCGCCUCUAUCAAGUAGCUAAUGAGCUGUAAAGGGAUGCCUAAAUGCACUAAGAAACUUGCUAUUUAGAGGAACUCUGGGAUCCUAAAAUGAAUCCUUUUAUGAAGCAGAGAAUGUUUCUGCAGUGGAAAUAAUUACCCUGUAAUUUAUCUGGCCCUAAGUAGGAUUUUCCUCUGCUUAGCUUUGUGAGUGUGGUUUACACUGAGUGUCCUGCAGGCACCUCCACUUCAGCGUGUCUGAAAUGGUGGCAGGGAGCCCAGGUAGGAGGCUGUUGCUGUAAGUCUUGACACCAGUUUCUCUCAACUCUAAUUCAUCAGCCACUCUGAUGCCAAGGAAAUAUUUCCUGAAAAACAAAUCCACUCAUUUCACUGCCCUGCUAAAAACCUCUGCUGGAUCCCCGUUGCAGAUCUUCAUCCUCUGCUGGAUAAAUGCCAAGCCCUUUAGCAAAGUAUCGAUGACCCUUCACAUUUUGGCCCUGACUGCUUUUCCAGCAACACUUCCUGGUAUUCCCCCUACAUGCCAUAUGCUCUAGCCACACUUCACUUCUCCCCACUCUCCAAAUACACUGAACAUUUCAUACUUCUCUGCAUUUGCCUUUGGCUAUGCCGGGAUCGCUCCGUGUCCAACAACUUUUGUACCUGAAGAAUCCCUCCUUCUGCAAAAGCUUCAGCUCAAAUAUCACUGUUCCAGCAUUCCAAGGAAAGUUAGUCAUCUGCCUCUUUAUUGUCAUAGCAAUCUGCUCACAUCUGAGAGAACUCAUUACAUUUUAUUGUAAUUAUAUGUCUCCACAACUGGCCUUUAAGUUUAGGAGGCAUGACAUCAUAAUCUUUUUAUGUUGAAGGUUGAUAACAUUUGGAUGUUUACUAAAUCCCAGAAACUAUAUGCUCUACAAAUAAUAUAUCAUUAAGGACUUUCAAUACAAUUAUGAAGUAUUAUUUUCGUUUCACUGAUGAAUGGAUGGAUAUUCAAAUGCUAAGGGGCUUUCUCAGGACUAGACUGCCAAUAAAGCCUAUAGCUUUGAUUUGAUCCCAUUUUCUGAUGCCAAAGCCUAGUUAUUUUUUUCCCAAUAUAAUAUCUUUCCUCCUCAAGACUUAGCACCACGACUGAUGUCUAAUACAUGAAAAAAUGUGUGAAAUUAUGUUCUGCCUAACUCUAAAGUUUACAUUCACCCCCAGAGAAUAAGAUUUCCCACUAUUGAGGUCAGUGUGAAGGAAGCUUCAGGGGCAGCUUCCAGGGGGCCCUCCAGGAGGGUUGAGAGUCAGGGCAGUGCUUUAGAGUUGGAUACAGACACCCUUUUAAUAAAAUGUUAAACUGUUAAC